rnacentral:rRNA from 1 species
GAUGAACGCUGGCGGCGUGCCUAAUACAUGCAAGUCGAGCGAACGGACGAGAAGCUUGCUUCUCUGAUGUUAGCGGCGGACGGGUGAGUAACACGUGGAUAACCUACCUAUAAGACUGGGAUAACUUCGGGAAACCGGAGCUAAUACCGGAUAAUAUUUUGAACCGCAUGGUUCAAAAGUGAAAGGCGGUCCUGCUGUCACUUAUAGAUGGAUCCGCGCUGCAUUAGCUAGUUGGUAAGGUAACGGCUUACCAAGGCAACGAUGCAUAGCCGACCUGAGAGGGUGAUCGGCCACACUGGAACUGAGACACGGUCCAGACUCCUACGGGAGGCAGCAGUAGGGAAUCUUCCGCAAUGGGCGAAAGCCUGACGGAGCAACGCCGCGUGAGUGAUGAAGGUCUUCGGAUCGUAAAACUCUGUUAUUAGGGAAGAACAUAUGUGUAAGUAACUGUGCACAUCUUGACGGUACCUAAUCAGAAAGCCACGGCUAACUACGUG